GAUGAAGAACGUAGCGAAAUGCGAUAAGUAAUGUGAAUUGCAGAAUUCAGUGAAUCAUCGAGUCUUUGAACGCACAUUGCGCCCGCCAGUAUUCUGGCGGGCAUGCCUGUUCGAGCGUCAUUUCAACCAUCAAGCCCCAGGCUUGUGUUGGGGGCCUGCAGCUGCUGCAGCCCCCUAAAAGCAGUGGCGGACUCGCUGUCAUACCGAGCGCAGUAGUUACAUCUCGCUCUGGGCAUGGCGGCGGGCACCUGCCGUAAAACACUCUUUCUAAGGUUGACCUCGGAUCAGGUAGGAAUACCCGCUGAACUUAAGCAUAUCAAUAAGCGGAGGA
rnacentral:misc_RNA from 1 species